GCUGGGGGUGCUGGUGUGCCCCUGUAAUCCCAGCUACUUGGGAGGCUGAGGCAGGAGAAUCGCUUGAACCUGGGAGGUGGAGGUUGCAGUGAGCUGAGCUUGUGCCACUACACUCUAGCCUGGGUGACAGAGUGAGACUCUGUCUCAA
rfam:Homo sapiens chromosome 10, GRCh38 reference primary assembly.